UACGUAGGGGGCAAGCGUUGUCCGGAAUUAUUGGGCGUAAAGCGCGCGCAGGCGGUCAUUUAAGUCUGGUGUUUAAUCCCGGGGCUCAACUCCGGGUCGCACUGGAAACUGGGUGGCUUGAGUGCAGAAGAGGAGAGUGGAAUUCCACGUGUAGCGGUGAAAUGCAUAGAGAUGUGGAGGAACACCAGUGGCGAAGGCGACUCUCUGGGCUGUAACUGACGCUGAGGCGCGAAAGCGUGGGUAGCAAACAGG
rnacentral:rRNA from 1 species